rnacentral:rRNA from 1 species
UACGUAGGGUGCAAGCGUUGUCCGGAAUUAUUGGGCGUAAAGAGCUCGUAGGCGGUCUGUUGCGUCGGCUGUGAAAACCCGAGGCUCAACCUCGGGCCUGCAGCCGAUACGGGCAGACUAGAGUUCGGCAGGGGAGACUGGAAUUCCUGGUGUAGCGGUGAAAUGCGCAGAUAUCGGGAGGAACACCGGUGGCGAAGGCGGGUCUCUGGGCCGAUACUGACGCUGAGGAGCGAAAGCGUGGGGAGCGAACAGG